UACGUAGGGUGCAAGCGUUAAUCGGAAUACUGGGCGUAAAGCGUGCGCAGGCGGUUUGGUAAGACAGAUGUGAAAUCCCCGGGCUCAACCUGGGAAUUGCAUUUGUGACUGCCCGACUAGAGUGUGUCAGAGGGGGGUAGAAUUCCACGUGUAGCAGUGAAAUGCGUAGAGAUGUGGAGGAAUACCGAUGGCGAAGGCAGCCCCCUGGGAUAACACUGACGCUCAUGCACGAA
rnacentral:rRNA from 1 species